CAUGCAAGUCGUGCGCGAAGGCGGCUUCGGCUGCCGGAGAGCGGCGAACGGGUGAGUAACACGUGGGUAAUCUGCCUGGGAGCGGGGGAUAACCUGGGGAAACUCGGGCUAACACCGCAUACGUUGGUUGGGAUGCGUCCUGAUCAAGAAAGCUGGCCUCUACUUGUAAGCUAGCGCUCCCAGAGGAGCCCGCGGCUGAUUAGCUAGUUGGUGAGGUAAUGGCUCACCAAGGCGACGAUCAGUAGCCGGCCUGAGAGGGUGAUCGGCCACACUGGGACUGAGACACGGCCCAGACUCCUACGGGAGGCAGCAGUGGGGAAUAUUGGACAAUGGGCGCAAGCCUGAUCCAGCAACGCCGCGUGGAGGAUGAAGGUCUUCGGAUCGUAAACUCCUGUCAGGUGGGACGAAGGUAGUGGGGUAAAUAAUCCUACUGCUUGACGGUACCACCAGAGGAAGCCCCGGCUAACUCCGUGCCAGCAGCCGCGGUAAUACGGAGGGGGCGAGCGUUAUUCGGAAUUAUUGGGCGUAAAGGGCGCGUAGGCGGCUUGACAAGUCAAAGGUGAAAUCCCUCGGCUCAACUGAGGAACUGCCUUUGAAACUGUCUGGCUUGAGGCCGGGAGGGGUAGCGGAAUUCCCAGUGUAGCGGUGAAAUGCGUAGAUAUUGGGAGGAACACCAGUGGCGAANGCGGC
rnacentral:rRNA from 1 species